rnacentral:ncRNA from 1 species
CGAGCCCAGGUCAGGCAGGCCUACCCGUUGAGUUUAAGCAUAUAAAUAAGCGGAGGAGAAGAAACUUACAAGGAUUCCCCUAGUAACGGCGAGCGAACC